AUGCAUAAAUGAAUGAAUGAGAAGAUGAAUGGACUAUUCAAAAGAAAAGAAAGAAGAAUCGCCGAAUUCGUUCACUCGUUCGUUUUGCUUCAGUCUUGUCUUCCUGUCAUGUCUUUCUAUUUACACUUACGUUAACGUGAAGGAGAGGACCGAAAGCCCGAGUCCCU
rnacentral:ribozyme from 1 species